rnacentral:rRNA from 1 species
CGGACGGGUGAGUAACGCGUGGAAAACCUGCCGUAUACUGGGGGAUAACACUUAGAAAUAGGUGCUAAUACCGCAUAAGCGCACAGCUUCGCAUGAAGUGGUGUGAAAAACUCUGGUGGUAUACGAUGGUUCCGCGUCUGAUUAGCUGGUUGGCGGGGUAACGGCCCACCAAGGCGACGAUCAGUAGCCGGCCUGAGAGGGUGAACGGCCACAUUGGGACUGAGACACGGCCCAAACUCCUACGGAAGGCAGCAG